CGAACAGGCACACCAUCAGGGCAACACGUGACAGAGAUUGAGGUCAUGAUGGAGCCGACUAGAAACGCAGAGUACAGCAAGCAGGAAUACUGGGACCGGCGCUACACGGAGGAGGAGCACUAUGACUGGUUUCCCUCCGUGUACCCCAUGUGUGUCGCUGCAGCCUUUGAGACCGUUGAGGCUGUCUAUCGUGUGCAGCGCAGCACAGGGGCAUUCGAAGGCACGCUAAAGGUGUUGCAUCUUGGUACUGGUAGCUCAACCCUCUGCGCCGACAUCCGCGCCGCCUACGAGGCAAAAUAUCCGACGGAAGACUCGAGGCCCUACCGACUCGUGCAGGUGGCCACUGACUACUCUGCUGUGGUCAUCGAGCAUAUGAAGACCAAGUACGGUCCAGCCCAUCCACUGGAAGACGUACACUGGGUGGUUGCCGAUAUCCGCGAUCUCAGUCGCGUGCGUGAGCAGUUUGGUCCUUUCUUCGACGUGGUGCUGGACAAGGGCACCAUGGACGCGCUGCAGGCGGACAAGGCAAACCAGAAUAUGGACGACGACAUUGAACGGAUGCUCUGCGAGGUGAGUAGGUGCGUCGAGGGCGGUGUUGGCACGCUCGUGUAUCGUGUGUUUGUGCAGAUCACGUGGGAAAUUCCUUACUUGCGCCUUCACUACACCACGAAGAAUGCCACGCACACCUUCGCCUGGGGCACCAAUGUCACCUACCGCUUUCUGGGUGAGAGUGACAUGUACAGGAUGUACACGUACGAGGUGUCACCGCCCUCUUCCGAGUAGACCCUCCGGGGCGGAAGAGAGGAGGCGACGCGCGGCGCAAAGGUGUGGCGCUUGUCACCGCCAAAAGCGCGCCGUGCCCUCUUUCACUCUUGUCGGUAUUUGCCAGUGGUGCGCACACCUUGCACCCCUCAAGGCGUGUUACUCUGAGGGUGUCGAUUCGGCACACAAGCAACGGGGGCUGGGGGGACACGCAAGCGCGCACAUUAACAAAGAGCGGGGGAGUGUCGGACUGAGAGAAAGCCGGAGACGCUCGCAGUAUUGUCUGCUCAGUGUACAAGUCGUUGGUUGUACUUACACAAAGGCCUGUUUCUCUACGACCACACGACGGUCGAAAAGGAUGCAGUGGGGGGAAGCAAUGUUGCCUCUGUCUUUCGUUUUCUUCCCGUUGAAGAGCGUCCGCGUGCCUUGAGGAGCUCAUGCCGCUAAGCACGUGUAGGAGAACUCUGCGCGCUCGGCAUUGUCGGAGCGGCGGGGGGAGGGCCCGCCAUAGCCCCCCUCCCCUUCCCUAUCACUCCCUUUCGCACCCCACCCUGCCGCUGCAACAGCUCUCUCAGUGUCGUUGUCAUUGCAGCCUCAGCCAUCUGCGUUUCGGUGUGUGUGUGUGUCCACUUUCUCUUCUCCGCUCCCCCUCCUCUAACUUGGCCGCCGCCCCCCCCCUCCCUCCCUCCACUCUUCUUGUAAG
rnacentral:misc_RNA from 1 species